GACGAACCGUGCGAACGUUAUUCGGAAUCACUGGGCUUAAAGCGCGUGUAGGCGGGCCGCCGCGUCGGCUGCUGAAAUCCCCCGGCUCAACCGGGGAACGGGCACCGAUACGGGCGGCCUCGAGGGGGGUAGGGGGACCUGGAACUUCCGGUGGAGCGGUGAAAUGCGUUGAGAUCGGAAGGAACGCCCGUGGCGAAAGCGAGGCCCUGGACCCUUACUGACGCUGAGACGCGAAAGCCAGGGGAGCGAACGGG
rnacentral:rRNA from 1 species